ensembl:snRNA U4 U4 spliceosomal RNA
UAAUUUGUGCAGUGGCAGUAUCGUGGCCAAUGAGGUUUGUCCAAGGUACAAUUAUUGCUAAUUGAAAAUAAAUGACCAUCUGUAAUCUGCAGUACUUUUAGCAGCUUCCUGUGCCCAAGAAC